UGGGGGAUAUUGCACAAUGGAGGAAACUCUGAUGCAGCGACGCCGCGUGAGGGAAGACGGUCUUCGGAUUGUAAACCUCUGUCUUUAGGGACGAAAAAAUGACGGUACCUAAGGAGGAAGCCACGGCUAACUACGUGCCAGCAGCCGCGGUAAUACGUAGGUGGCAAGCGUUGUCCGGAAUUACUGGGUGUAAAGGGAGCGUAGGCGGGGAGACAAGUUGAAUGUUUAAACUAUCGGCUCAACUGAUAGUCGCGUUCAAAACUAUCACUCUUGAGUGCAGUAGAGGUAGGCGGAAUUCCUAGUGUAGCGGUGAAAUGCGUAGAUAUUAGGAGGAACACCAGUGGCGAAGGCGGCCUACUGGGCUGUAACUGACGCUGAGGCUCGAAAGCGUGGGUAGCAAACAGGAUUAGAUACCCUGGUAGUCCACGCCGUAAACGAUGAUUACUAGGUGUGGGGGGACUGACCCCUUCCGUGCCGGAGUUAACACAAUAAGUAAUCCACCUGGGGAGUACGACCGCAAGGUUGAAACUCAAAGGAAUUGACGGGGGCCCGCACAAGCAGUGGAGUAUGUGGUUUAAUUCGAAGCAACGCGAAGAACCUUACCAGGUCUUGACAUCGAGUGACGAACAUAGAGAUAUGUUUUUCCUUCGGGACACGAAGACAGGUGGUGCAUGGUUGUCGUCAGCUCGUGUCGUGAGAUGUUGGGUUAAGUCCCGCAACGAGCGCAACCCUUAUCAUUAGUUGCUACGCAAGAGCACUCUAAUGAGACUGCCGUUGAUAAAACGGAGGAAGGUGGGGAUGACGUCAAAUCAUCAUGCCCCUUAUGACCUGGGCUACACACGUACUACAAUGGUGAUCAAACAGAGGGAAGCAACACAGCGAUGUGAAGCAGAACCCGAAAAAUCAUCUCAGUUCAGAUUGCAGGCUGCAACUCGCCUGCAUGAAGUCGGAAUUGCUAGUAAUCGCGGAUCAGCAUGCCGCGGUGAAUACGUUCCC
rnacentral:rRNA from 2 species